UAAUUUCGCUGAAUUAGUGAUCGGCGAAAUUUAAUCCAAUCAGGAGAAUAUUAUGUCACUAACUAAAGAAGAAACUGCACAAAUCGUUGCUGAUUAUGGCGUUAAAGAA
rfam:Alteromonas confluentis strain KCTC 42603 Alteromonas_confluentis_KCTC42603_S28, whole genome shotgun sequence.